rnacentral:sRNA from 1 species
AUGGACCAAACUGGCCGAACCGAAUCACGGAUAUCUAUAACACAAUAUCCAGUGGCGCUGGUUUUCAAUUCUGGUGAUUUCUAGAGUUUUGCGGUGUGUAAUGUUUAGAGAUGUGGUUUGGGUUUGUGGGGACUGUUUCAUUUUUAGAGAGGUAGCUUGACCCCAUUGACGAAUUUUUUCAUAGCAGCUUCAAAUCAACCUUUCUCCUCUCAGUGGGUCAUCUGCUCUGUUUCUUCCACAAGUAUAUCUAUGUAUACAUUCCGAGGACAAGUUCGUCGCGGCCAACGUUGAUACUUUUGAUUCCAAAGUUGCCUCCUUUAUAUCUCACAAAGCAGUGCUGCAAUUCUCACAAGUUGGACUGCCUUCUAGUUAGCCUACUUGAGCAUUUUCAUUUCUUAUGCUGAAAGAGCUCUACAUGCAUCUCUUCUUAUUAAGUUUUUGUUCUAUUGGUGUCCAUUGUCUUUGUCAGCUUAAGUUCUUGGACUACCUACAAUGGGAGGCAAUUAUUCGUUGGAUACUUGAGUACUGCUUCACUAAUUUUCAUACAAAAUGCGUUGAGUUCAACAACAACAAAGCCUUUUCCCACAAAAUGAGUUGAGUUCAUGCCAUUUAAUCUUUUCUUUGCAACUUUCAUAGUGAGUUUCUCAUUCACUGGACAUGGAGUGUUCAAGGUGAACCUUUUUCUCUAUGUAAGUACUAUAUUUUCUUCAAUCCAAAAUUUUAGCAAUUAUAUAAUCUCGCCCAUCAUAGCACAUAUUCGUCAUUCUCAUUUCUUGGUCCAUAUUGCAUCUUAAAACGUGGUUGAAUGUCCUUCACAUCAAGCACCAAUCAACCAUAUCACACUUGCAUUGCAUAAUCAUUAAGUUCAUUUCUUCAAUAUUUUGGAUGUAGAUGCCAAAUGGUAUUGAGAAACAAUUUUAGCCUUUGUACAGUUGGUUCUAUUCUUCUGAAAAAGAUGCGGAAGAAGAACCAUUGAUAGUUGCACAUCUGUGUUGCAGAGAUUUGAUUCAAAUUGGUGGAUUUGUUGAGGACUUUGGUACAAUGAAAGUGUUAAGUUUGUGAUCUUCGCUAGAUUGCUCCGGUCACUAGUGUGGAUAAGUAUGUAAAUGGAUAGAGACAGGGAUGCAAACACAAGAUGUACGUGGUUCACCCAGAUUGGCUACAUCCACAGAGUAGAGGAGUUCUUAUUAAUUGUGAAGGGUUUACACAAGUACAUAGGUUCAA